UUGCUUUAGUUGUAACAGUUCCGGUGAGACUCUAAAGGGACUCGCCGGUCGUCAAACCUGAGGAAGGUGGGGAUGACGUCAAGUCCUCAUGGCCUUUAUGACCAGGGCUACACACGUACUACAAUGGUAGGAUACAAAGGGCAGCGACAUCGUGAGGUGAAGCGAAUCCCAUAAAGCCGGUCUCAGUCCGGAUUGGAGUCUGCAACUCGACUCCAUGAAGUCGGAAUCGCUAGUAAUCGUGGAUCAACAUGCCACGGUGAAUACGUUC
rnacentral:rRNA from 1 species